CUUCAGUUCAGCUACUCUCGCAUAAUUUGAAAUUCACAUUGAAUUCACUUCAAAUUCUAACUUUAGUGAAUAACUUGCAUGUAUUUUGCCCUAGAUUAGCAACUAGUAUGCCUUCAUAAAUAUGAACCUGCAAUAUGCUAACGAAGUCUCGUUAAGCUUAUCAAAAUAACCAAACAUUGUUUAUCUUUACUGUAUUUGGUGAUCUCCUGUUACCAAGCGAUUAAUAUGGAUUAUUUGGUAAUCCCAUGUCUUAUUAUAGCAG